CGGAGGGUGCAAGCGUUAUCCGGAUUCACUGGGUUUAAAGGGUCCGCAGGCGGUCUUAUAAGUCAGUGGUGAAAGCCUACAGCUCAACUGUAGAACUGCCAUUGAUACUGUAGGACUUGAAUUCGAUCGAAGUGGGCGGAAUGUGACAUGUAGCGGUGAAAUGCUUAGAUAUGUCACAGAACACCGAUAGCGAAGGCAGCUCACUAGGUCUGGAUUGACGCUCAGGGACGAAAGCGUGGGGAGCAAACAGGAUUAGAUACCCUGGUAGUCCACGCCGUAAACUAUCAAUACUCGUUCUUGGCUCUUCGGAGUCGGGGACUAAGCGAAAGUGAUAAGUAUUGCACCUGGGGAGUACGAUCGCAAGGUUG
rnacentral:rRNA from 1 species